rfam:Picea glauca, whole genome shotgun sequence.
AUGUACAUGUAUACAAUGUUAAUGCAUCAGAUCCCAUUAGAACUCUGUUAUUAAGCACGCUUGGAAUAUAAUAUUACUAGGAUGGGCGACCACCUAGGAGUUCCUAGUGUUUUACAUG